rnacentral:rRNA from 1 species
UGGGGAAUAUUGGACAAUGGGCGCAAGCCUGAUCCAGCCAUGCCGCGUGAGUGACGAAGGCCUUAGGGUUGUAAAGCUCUUUUGGCGGGGAAGAUAAUGACGGUACCCGCAGAAUAAGCUCCGGCUAACUUCGUGCCAGCAGCCGCGGUAAUACGAAGGGAGCUAGCGUUGUUCGGAAUCACUGGGCGUAAAGCGCACGUAGGUGGGCAGUUAAGUCAGGGGUGAAAGCCCGAGGCUCAACCUCGGAAUUGCCUUUGAUACUGGCUGUCUAGAGUCCGAGAGAGGUGGGUGGAAUUCCUAGUGUAGAGGUGAAAUUCGUAGAUAUUAGGAAGAACACCGGUGGCGAAGGCGGCCCACUGGCUCGGUACUGACACUGAGGUGCGAAAGCGUGGGGAGCAAACAGGAUUAGAUACCCUUGUAGUCCCUGAGCGGGCUGGCAAGGCGCAU